rnacentral:rRNA from 1 species
UCCAGACUCCUACGGGAGGCAGCAGUGGGGAAUAUUGGGCAAUGGGCGCAAGCCUGACCCAGCAACGCCGCGUGAAGGAAGAAGGCUUUCGGGUUGUAAACUUCUUUUGUCAGGGACGAAGCAAGUGACGGUACCUGACGAAUAAGCCACGGCUAACUACGUGCCAGCAGCCGCGGUAAUACGUAGGUGGCAAGCGUUAUCCGGAUUUACUGGGUGUAAAGGGCGUGUAGGCGGGGAAGCAAGUCAGAUGUGAAAUUCCAGGGCUCAACCCUGGAACUGCAUUUGAAACUGUUUUUCUUGAGUGAUGGAGAGGCAGGCGGAAUUCCGUGUGUAGCGGUGAAAUGCGUAGAUAUACGGAGGAACACCAGUGGCGAAGGCGGCCUGCUGGACAUUAACUGGCGCUGAGGCGCGAAAGCGUGGGGAGCAAACAGGAUUAGAUACCCGCGUAAG